rnacentral:rRNA from 1 species
UACGGAGGGGGCGAGCGUUGUCCGAAGUUACUGGGCGUAAAGCGCGCGUAGGCGGGCUGGCAAGUCUGCUGUGAAAGCCUGCGGCUUAACCGCAGAGGGUCGGUGGAUACUGCCAGUCUUGAAGGUGCUAGGGAGAGAUGGAAUUACCGGUGUAGCGGUGAAAUGCGUAGAGAUCGGUAGGAACACCAGUGGCGAAGGCGGUCUCUUGGAGCACUCUUGACGCUGAGGCGCGAAAGCUGGGGGAGCAAACGG